GCUCAGGGCCUAAGUCAUAACAGAUUCAGACUGAGAGAGCCCGCCUCCCUGUCCCCUUCCCGGCAGCUGCUAACGGACAUCGCGCAGACACUCAAGACUGACAGACUGACAGGGCAGGAGGUUUCUGAUAAUUUAGGUUUAUCCACCCGAAGUCAUGAGCUGUGGCCAAGGCGUACAAGGAAAUUCACUUAUUGAAAAAUGAAUCACAAAGACAGGAGAAAUGGAGAGGCGUGCUUUCUUAUCGUUACACGGAACAACGGAAGGGAGCAGAGAAAGGGAAUUGAGGUGGCCAAGUGCUGAGACCAGCGUCGCCUCCCCGCCUGUACCCCCUCCCCACGAGGCCCGCCGCCCGGGGUCGUCCAAGAAACGGGGCGCAGGCCAGUCACCCGGGGUCGUCCGGGGCGCGGAAAGCAGGCCCGCCGCCCGGGGUCGUCCAGGAAAUGGGGUGUACGCCCACCGCCCGCGGUCGUCCCGGGAGCGGGGAGCAGGCCCGCCGCCCGGGGUCGUGCAGGAACUGGGACGCAGUCCCGCCGCCCGGGGUCCUCGAGGAGCGGGACUUCCCAGAGGCGGCCCCCGGCCCCUCCCGACCACGGCCCCCGCCGCCAGCGACAGUACCCGAGGACAGCUCCGGAUCCACGGUGCCCAUCUCAGGCCUGCUCCAGGCCCGCACGGCGAGGACGAAGAGCAGGAGGAGGGCAAGCACUGCCAUAUUGCGCCUGACCGACCUCAGGUCGGCCGGGAACGACUGCGGGAUUCCCCUGGAACGGCCCUAGGGCCUGGACCUGCGUCACUUCCGCCGCCCAGGAACAGCGGUCUGCCGGGGGGCGGGGCGAGCACAUGAAGAGCAGAGUCGGAGGAGGCAGUUCUAGGACGAGCCGAGCAUCUGCACUUCUAUUCUUUGAAGGACUUUGAAGGAUUUUCUGGUUGGAAGACCUGCCACAGCCCAGCUUUUCAGCCAGUUCUCUGAAUGAUGCUGUUUUUCUCCUGGAUCCCUGAGAGUUACUGUGAAGGAGAAAGGAGCAGGAAUGCUUGAUAGCUCUAGGUGAGCCUCAGAACUAAUGCCUGGCUACAAUCCAGAUGAACAAAGAUUGAUUGAAGAGACUUUUGGAAUCUUUGUGAGGAGAAGAAGGUUAAUUCCACCUGGAAGGCUGAUCUGAGCCUUUUGGCCUAAGGUGAUAGCAAACUAGAAAAGCAGGGCAUAUAGUGCUCAAAUAGCUGUUUGGGUGGAAAGAUGUGUUUAUAUUGCAACUUUGUAUCAUUUAAUAACUUUCUGUUUGGGCUUGUUUUAGUAGGCUUCUGAAGGAGCUCAGAUUUGGAUCCAGUGAAUUAAUUCUCCCAUCUAAAGUCUUCCAAAUCUAACAGCGGGUUGGUUAAGACAUCAGAAAAAGGAAGUGCCAGAUGGUAUUGAAGUCACAAUUUUUUAAAUUAAAAGUUUUAUUCACACACCAUACAUUCUCUACCAAGCAAUCAGUGGUUCCCAGAAUGAUCACAUAGUCAUUCAUUCACCAGUACAAUCUAUAUGAGGACAUUUCCAUUUCUUCCACAAAGAAAGAGGAAGAGGAGAAAAAAGAAAAAAGGAAAAAGAAAAAGAAAAAGGAAAA